GGGGCUGUAGCUCAGCAGGAUAGAGCAACCGCCUCCUAAGCGGUAGGUCGCGCGUUCGAAUCGCGCCAGUCCCG
rnacentral:tRNA from 8 species